AGAGUUUGAUUAUGGCUCAGGAUGAACGCUGGCGGCGUGCUUAACACAUGCAAGUCGAACGAGGUCCAACCUUCGGGUGAAGACCGAGUGGCGAACGGGUGAGUAACACGUGGGGAACCUGCCCUUCUCUCUGGGAUAACCUCGGGAAACCGAAGCUAAUACCGGAUACUCCUUGCGGACCGCAUGGUCUGCUCGGGAAAGCUCCGGCGGAGAAGGAUGGCCCCGCGGCCCAUUAGCUUGUUGGUGGGGUAACGGCCCACCAAGGCGACGAUGGGUAGCCGAGCUGAGAGGCUGAUCGGCCACACUGGGACUGAGACACGGCCCAGACUCCUACGGGAGGCAGCAGUGGGGAAUCUUGCGCAAUGGGCGAAAGCCUGACGCAGCAACGCCGCGUGCGGGAUGAAGGCUCUCGGGUCGUAAACCGCUUUCAGCAGGGAUGAAAAUGACAGUACCUGCAGAAGAAGCCCCGGCUAAAUACGUGCCAGCAGCCGCGGUAAUACGUAUGGGGCAAGCGUUAUCCGGAUUCAUUGGGCGUAAAGCGCGCGUAGGCGGCUUGUUAAGUCAGGCGUGAAAUCCGGGGGCUCAACCCGCGGCUUGCGUCUGAAACUGGCAGGCUUGAGUCUGGUAGAGGAAAGUGGAAUUCCUGGUGUAGCGGUGAAAUGCGCAGAUAUCAGGAGGAACACCAGUGGCGAAGGCGGCUUUCUGGGCCACGACUGACGCUGAGGCGCGAAAGCCAGGGGAGCGAACAGGAUUAGAUACCCUGGUAGUC
rnacentral:rRNA from 1 species